GACGAACGCUGGCGGCGUGCUUAACACAUGCAAGUCGAACGGUGACGAAAGAGCUUGCUUUUUCUGAUCAGUGGCGAACGGGUGAGUAACACGUGAGUAACCUGCCCCAGACUCUGGGAUAACCUCGGGAAACCGGGGCUAAUACCGGAUAUGACACUCCACCGCAUGGUGAGGGUGUGGAAAGUUUUUCGGUCUGGGAUGGACUCGCGGCCUAUCAGCUUGUUGGUGAGGUAAUGGCUCACCAAGGCGACGACGGGUAGCCGGCCUGAGAGGGCGACCGGCCACACUGGAACUGAGACACGGUCCAGACUCCUACGGGAGGCAGCAGUGGGGAAUAUUGCACAAUGGGCGCAAGCCUGAUGCAGCGACGCCGCGUGGGGGAUGAAGGCCUUCGGGUUGUAAACCCCUUUCAGCAGGGAAGAAGCGAAAGUGACGGUACCUGCAGAAGAAGCGCCGGCUAACUACGUGCCAGCAGCCGCGGUAAUACGUAGGGCGCAAGCGUUGUCCGGAAUUAUUGGGCGUAAAGAGCUCGUAGGCGGUCUGUCGCGUCUGCUGUGAAAUCCCGAGGCUCAACCUCGGGCCUGCAGUGGGUACGGGCAGACUAGAGUGUGGUAGGGGAGACUGGAAUUCCUGGUGUAGCGGUGGAAUGCGCAGAUAUCAGGAGGAACACCGAUGGCGAAGGCAGGUCUCUGGGCCACAACUGACGCUGAGGAGCGAAAGCGUGGGGAGCGAACAGGAUUAGAUACCCUGGUAGUCCACGCCGUAAACGGUGGGCACUAGAUGUGGGGCUCUUUCCAUGAGUUCCGCGUCGCAGCUAACGCAUUAAGUGCCCCGCCUGGGGAGUACGGCCGCAAGGCUAAAACUCAAAGGAAUUGACGGGGGCCCGCACAAGCGGCGGAGCAUGCGGAUUAAUUCGAUGCAACGCGAAGAACCUUACCAAGGCUUGACAUAUACCCUCUACCCCCAGAGAUGGGGGGUGCUUCGGCGGGGUAUACAGGUGGUGCAUGGUUGUCGUCAGCUCGUGUCGUGAGAUGUUGGGUUAAGUCCCGCAACGAGCGCAACCCUCGUCCUAUGUUGCCAGCACGUAAUGGUGGGGACUCAUAGGAGACUGCCGGGGUCAACUCGGAGGAAGGUGGGGAUGACGUCAAAUCAUCAUGCCCCUUAUGUCUUGGGCUUCACGCAUGCUACAAUGGCCGGUACAAUGGGCUGCGAUACCGUAAGGUGGAGCGAAUCCCAAAAAGCCGGUCUCAGUUCGGAUUGAGGUCUGCAACUCGACCUCAUGAAGUCGGAGUCGCUAGUAAUCGCAGAUCAGCAACGCUGCGGUGAAUACGUUCCCGGGCCUUGUACACACCGCCCGUCAAGUCACGAAAGUCGGUAACACCCGAAGCCAGUGGCCCAACUCGUAAGAGGGGGAGCUGUCUAAGGUGGGAUUGGCGAUUGGGACUAAGUCGUAACAAGGUAGCCGUACCGGAAGGUGC
rnacentral:rRNA from 2 species